CCCGUCCCGUCCCGAUCAAGGGAUUCAUUAAAAAAUGAUUCCCAUCCCGUGGGAUUCCCGCGGGAAUCACGUGACCCACGGGAAUUCCCGAAAAAUGUCAUCCUCUACAGGGAAGGUCCCGGAGCAGAUGAAACAGGUGCCGGAACGGCUGAAAUAGGUCCCGGAUCCGAUCAAAAGAGGUCCCGGAUCGCGCUCCGACUUGCUCCGGCAUAAAUUAAGCACUGCUUACAAUGAUCCCCUCACGUGUGUAACUCAGGUAACCUGCAACGGCGGGAGACGCUGGACACGAAGAGGGCACGUAAAGCGGCAUCAUGUCGCAAAAUUGAAAGAGAAAUGCGAGCCUACAUGUCAACGCAUCCUUUUCUUUGUAAGAAAAUAUUGUUUUCUUUCCCGUUCGACACCAAAUACACUUAUUGAAUGUGCAAUUAUUGUUGUUGUUACUAUGAAUCAUCUGAUGGCACAAGCCCUAUGGAUAAAAUACAGCCUAUCGCCGAAACGAUAAAAAAAAAAAAUGGCACGAUAGACAUUUUCUAUCGUGCCCACGAUAUUUAUCGUCCUAUCGCCCAGCACUAC